AAAAACUCCGGUGGUAUGAGAUGGACCCGCGUCUGAUUAGCUAGUUGGUGAGGUAACGGCCCACCAAGGCGACGAUCAGUAGCCGGCCUGAGAGGGCGACCGGCCACAUUGGGACUGAGACACGGCCCAAACUCCUACGGGAGGCAGCAGUGGGGAAUAUUGCACAAUGGGGGAAACCCUGAUGCAGCGACGCCGCGUGAGUGAAGAAGUAUUUCGGUAUGUAAAGCUCUAUCAGCAGGGAAGAAGAAAGACGGUACCUGACUAAGAAGCCCCGGCUAACUACGUGCCAGCAGCCGCGGUAAUACGUAGGGGGCAAGCGUUAUCCGGAUUUACUGGGUGUAAAGGGAGCGUAGACGGCUGUGCAAGUCUGAAGUGAAAGCCCAGGGCUCAACCCUGGGACUGCUUUGGAAACUGUGGAGCUAGAGUGCUGGAGAGGUAAGUGGAAUUCCUAGUGUAGCGGUGAAAUGCGUAGAUAUUAGGAGGAACACCAGUGGCGAAGGCGGCUUACUGGACAGUAACUGACGUUGAGGCUCGAAAGCGUGGGGAGCAAACAGGAUUAGAUACCCUGGUAGUCCACGCGGUAAACGAUGAAUACUAGGUGUCGG
rnacentral:rRNA from 1 species